AACACACACACACACACGCAUGCAUAUUGCCCAGGUGGAUAAUGACACACACAUACACACACACACACACGCAUAUUGCCCAGGUGGAUAAUCACACACACACACACACAUAUUGCCCAGGUGGAUAAUGCUGAAUGAAAAUGACAGGUCAGAGGGGAUUAUCUAUUUUUGGAUGUCUUGCCAGUCAAAGACUUUUAUUUUGCCAGUUUCUGCAGCUGGCUGGUUUAAUGUCCAUGUGUUUUAAAAUGUGAUUAACUGCAGUCUGAAUGUCAAAUGAGAAACCUUUGCGAGAAAUGAUCUUGUAGUUUAAUGGUUUUAUGUCUAUCUCAUUUUUUUUUUAGAUAUAUGUUAAGAGUUCUGUCGUUGUUCAGUAUAUAGAUGAAUACCAGUGUAUUCUAAGGUCUAAUCUCUUCACUGGUCUCUACACCAUCUGUAAGUGCCCCCCACUGGACUUCAGAGCAACAACAUGUGUUUCACACUUAAGAGUGGAUGCUUUCUUUGAACACCGGAUCUCUGCACGUGUGCCUUGUGUUAUCUGUACUUGACGCCAAUAAAAAAGUGGUCCUUCACAGGAACCGGUUACUCUCCCAGAACCGUUACAAAUGGCCGUCAAACUGGAGGUGCACCUCUAGACAGCCAGGCUGUCUCUGCUGCAACAUCACAUCGCAUCGAUCACAUCACAACCAACCAACUAAAGCGUCUAACCUCAUUUCCAUCCUUUACUAUCUCUUGUGACUAAGUGCUCUUAUUGUUGAUACUAACAAUGCAUGCUUUCUAUUAUGUUACUGUAAAUAUAUAUAUAUAUACUGCAUGCUGAGAAGUACUGAAUAUAUGCUCAAUAAAUUAUACCUAAAAUCAUACCACUUGUCACCGAAGUUGCAUACGGUGUGUUGCUUUGAAAAGCAGCAGAUGCAAAUAUGCUGUACCAAAAGACAGUGCCUGACACACAGUAUGCAGUUGGCGUAGCUGGAACACAAGACAUUUCUACCAAAACUAGUCAAUAUUUUAUCCACAUCAUAAGCGUAACAAAUUAAAGCUAUCGAUGUUAUCACAUAUUUUUACCCAUUCCCUUUCUACCCAUUGUCUUGUCUGAAAACCUGCAUAUUUUGAAGGUAACUUCUGCAUGUCAUAUCUAUGGAAACUGUGAUGUUUUUAUGUCUGUGUAUAUGUGUAUAGAUGAACUGCUAACUGCUCAUCUGUGUAUAGAUGAACUGCUAAGGUGCCGAUCUGCCUUGGCUACUUAGCAUAUCCAGCACGUGGAGGUGUGUAAAGCAUAUCCCUUCACCAGCGCAUCAUUAGUGUGGUGUGAAACCUAUG
ensembl:lncRNA